GAUGAACGCUGGCGGCGUGCCUAAUACAUGCAAGUCGAGCGAACAGACGAGGAGCUUGCUCCUCUGACGUUAGCGGCGGACGGGUGAGUAACACGUGGAUAACCUACCUAUAAGACUGGGAUAACUUCGGGAAACCGGAGCUAAUACCGGAUAAUAUAUUUAACCGCAUGGUUCAAUAGUGAAAGACGGUUUUGCUGUCACUUAUAGAUGUAUCCGCGCCGCAUUAGCUAGUUGGUAAGGUAACGGCUUACCAAGGCGACGAUGCGUAGCCGACCUGAGAGGGUGAUCGGCCACACUGGAACUGAGACACGGUCCAGACUCCUACGGGAGGCAGCAGUAGGGAAUCUUCCGCAAAGGGCGAAAGCCUGACGGAGCAACGCCGCGUGAGUGAUGAAGGUCUUCGGAUCGUAAAACUCUGUUAUUAGGGAAGAACAAAUGUGUAAGUAACUAUGCACGUCUUGACGGUACCUAAUCAGAAAGCCACGGCUAACUACGUG
rnacentral:rRNA from 1 species